CCUACGGGAGGCAGCAGUGGGGAAUAUUGCACAAUGGGCGAAAGCCUGAUGCAGCAACGCCGCGUGAGCGAUGAAGGCCUUCGGGUCGUAAAGCUCUGUCCUCAAGGAAGAGAAUGACGGUACGUGAGGAGGAAGCCGCGGCUAACGACGUGCCAGCAGCCGCGGUAAUACGUAGGGGGCUAGCGUUAUCCGGAAUUACUGGGCGUCAAGGGGGCGGAGGUGGUUUCUUAAGUCAGAGGUGAAAGGCUACGGCUCAACCGUAGUAAGCCUUUGAAACUGGGGAACUUGAGUGCAGGAGAGGCGAGUGGAAUUCCUAGUGUAGCGGUGCAAUGCGUAGAUAUUAGGCGGAACACCAGUGGCGACGGCGGCUUACUGGACUGUACAUGACGCUGAGGCUCGAAAGCGUGGGGAGCAAACAGGAUUAGCUACCCGAGUAGUC
rnacentral:rRNA from 1 species